rnacentral:rRNA from 1 species
AUUGAACGCUGGCGGCAUGCUUUACACAUGCAAGUCGAACGGUAGGGUAGCAAUACCUGAGAGUGGCGAACGGGUGAGUAAUGCAUCGGAACAUGCCUAUUAGUGGGGGAUAGCCCGGCGAAAGCCGGAUUAAUACCGCAUACGAUCUAAGGAUGAAAGCAGGGGACCGCAAGGCCUUGCGCUAAUGGAGUGGCUGAUGUCAGAUUAGCUAGUUGGUGGGGUAAAGGCUCACCAAGGCGACGAUCUGUAGCUGGUUUGAGAGAACGACCAGCCACACUGGGACUGAGACACGGCCCAGACUCCUACGGGAGGCAGCAGUGGGGAAUUUUGGACAAUGGGCGCAAGCCUGAUCCAGCAAUGCCGCGUGCAGGAUGAAGGCCUUC